rnacentral:lncRNA from 1 species
ACCUGAAUGGGCUGCAGAUGAAUCUAGUGAAGAUGAAAGUGACGAUGAAGGGUUGCAGGAUAAUGAGCAAGGCCAGCACUCUCCACAGCAGCUGCAUGCAGAUGAUAUUGAAGAAGAUAUUGAAGAAAUAAGAGAUGAUCAUGGUCGACGUCGUGUUUAUGAGCCACGAAUUGUGACUCAGCAUGAUGAAGAAGAAGAAGAAAGAAAGCAUUCUAAGAGAAGUGAAGAAAGUAGCGAUGAGGAAAAUAAUGCAGAAGAAGAAUUAGA